rnacentral:rRNA from 1 species
GUGGGGAAUCUUAGACAAUGGGCGCAAGCCUGAUCUAGCCAUGCCGCGUGGGUGAUGAAGGCCUUAGGGUCGUAAAGCCCUUUCGCCGGGGAAGAUAAUGACGGUACCCGGUAAAGAAACCCCGGCUAACUCCGUGCCAGCAGCCGCGGUAAUACGGAGGGGGUUAGCGUUGUUCGGAAUGACUGGGCGUAAAGCGCGCGUAGGCGGAUCAUCAAGUCGGGGGUGAAAUCCCGGGGCUCAACCCCGGAAUGGCCUUCGAGACUGGUGGUCUUGAGUUCGAGAGAGGUGAGUGGAAUUCCGAGUGUAGAGGUGAAAUUCGUAGAUAUUCGGAGGAACACCAGUGGCGAAGGCGGCUCACUGGCUCGACACUGACGCUGAGGUGCGAAAGCGUGGGGAGCAAACAGGAUUAGAAACCCUAGUAGUCC